GAUGAACGCUGACAGCAUGCUUAACACAUGCAAGUCGAUGGGGAAGUGGUGCUUGCACCCUGGUAACCAUGGCGGACGGGUGGGUAACGCGUAAGGAACUUACCUGCGGGACCGGGAUAACAGCAGGAAACUGCUGACAAGACCGGAUAAGGUCAUUAAGCUGCAUAGCUUAGUGAUGAAAGGAGACGCCUGCGGAGAGCCUUGCGUCCUAUUAGCUAGUUGGAGGGGUAACGGCCCACCAAGGCGAAGAUAGGUAGCCGGCCUGAGAGGGUGGACGGCCACAAGGGGACUGAGAUACGGCCCUUACGCCUACGGGAGGCAGCAGUGGGGAAUAUUGGACAAUGGGGGCAACCCUGAUCCAGCAAUUCUGUGUGCACGAAGACGGUUUUCGGAUUGUAAAGUGAUUUCAGCAGGGAAGAAGGAAGUGACGGUACCUGCAGAAGAAGCGACGGCUAAAUACGUG
rnacentral:rRNA from 1 species